rnacentral:rRNA from 1 species
AUGGGUGAUUUAUAGAUAAUAAUGUAACCUCUUACCAUACCGAACAGAGAAGUUAAAGUUAUUAUCGCUGAUGGUACUAAUAUAAUAAUUGGGAGAGUAAGUAUCGCCCAUU